GAUGAACGCUGGCGGCGUGCCUAAUACAUGCAAGUCGAGCGAACAGACGAGGAGCUUGCUCCUCUGACGUUAGCGGCGGACGGGUGAGUAACACGUGGAUAACCUACCUAUAAGACUGGGAUAACUUCGGGAAACCGGAGCUAAUACCGGAUAAUCUAUUGAACCGCAUGGUUCAAUAGUGAAAGACGGUUUUGCUGUCUCUUAUAGAUGGAUCCCGGCCGCAUGAGCUAGUUGGUAAGGUAACGGCUUACCAAGGCGAGGAGGCGUAGCCGACCUGAGAGGCUGAUAGGCGACAUGGGAACGGAGCCACGGUCCAGAGGCCUACGGGAGGCAGCAGAAGGCAAUCUGCCGCAGUGGGCGAAAGCCUGACGGAGCAGCGCCGCGUGAGUGAUGAAGAUCUUCGGAUCGUAAAGCUCUGUUAUUAGUGGAGAACAAAUGUGUAAGUUACUAUACACGUCUUGACGGUACCGAAUCAGAAAGCCACGGCUAACUACGUG
rnacentral:rRNA from 1 species